rnacentral:rRNA from 1 species
GACGAACGCUGGCGGCGUGCCUAACACAUGCAAGUCGAGCGGAGAAAGUUCUUCGGAACUUUCUUAGCGGCGGACGGGUGAGUAACACGUGGGUAACCUGCCUUAUAGAGGGGGAUAGCCUUCCGAAAGGAAGAUUAAUACCGCAUAACAUUUUUGUUUCGCAUGAAAUAAAAAUCAAAGGAGCAAUCCGCUAUAAGAUGGACCCGCGGCGCAUUAGCUAGUUGGUGAGGUAACGGCUCACCAAGGCGACGAUGCGUAGCCGACCUGAGAGGGUGAUCGGCCACAUUGGAACUGAGAUACGGGCCAGACUCCUACGGGAGGCAGCAGUGGGGAAUAUUGCACAAUGGGGGAAACCCUGAUGCAGCAACGCCGCGUGAGUGAUGAAGGCCUUCGGGUUGUAAAGCUCUGUUUUCGGGGACGAUAAUGACGGUACCCGAGGAGGAAGCCACGGCUAACUACGUGCCAGCCGCCGCAGUAAGAC